rnacentral:rRNA from 1 species
UGGGGAAUAUUGGGCAAUGGGCGCAAGCCUGACCCAGCCAUGCCGCGUGAGUGAUGAAGGCCUUCGGGUCGUAAAGCUCUGUGGGGAGGGACGAAUAAGCUUGUGGCUAACAUCCAUGAGCCCUGACGGUACCUCCUUAGCAAGCACCGGCUAACUCCGUGCCAGCAGCCGCGGUAAUACGGAGGGUGCAAACGUUGCUCGGAAUCAUUGGGCGUAAAGCGCACGUAGGCGGUCCAGUAAGUCGGGUGUGAAAGCCCUCGGCUCAACCGAGGAAGUGCAUCCGAAACUACUGAACUUGAGUAUGGAAGAGGGUCGCGGAAUUCCCGGUGUAGAGGUGAAAUUCGUAGAUAUCGGGAGGAACACCAGUGGCGAAGGCGGCGACCUGGGCCAAUACUGACGCUGAGGUGCGAAAGCGUGGGGAGCAAACAGG